rnacentral:rRNA from 2 species
UUGACCUCGAAUCAGGUAGGGAUACCCGCUGAACUUAAGC